UUUCAACAACUCUCCUUCUUCCACUUUCCUUUGUCUUUGGAAGAUCAAGAAGCUUACCUUCUGCCAAGUCUCCUCUCUUUUUCAAGAUUUUCUUACUUGGUCUUAUCGGGUUCAUGUCGCAGAUCGUUGGUUGUAAAGGUAUUGUAUAUAGCUCCCCAACUCUUGCCUCUGCUAUCAGCAAUCUGACACCAG